UACGUAGGGUGCGAGCGUUAAUCGGAAUUACUGGGCGUAAAGCGUGCGCAGGCGGCGCGUUAAGACAGGUGUGAAAGCCCCGAGCUUAACUUGGGAAUUGCGCUUGUGACUGGCGUGCUGGAGUGUGGCAGAGGGAGGUGGAAUUCCACGUGUAGCAGUGAAAUGCGUUGAGAUCGUGAGGAACGCCCGUGGCGAAAGCGGCUCCUGGGCCCGCCUGACGCUGAGACGCGAAGCCAGGGAGCGAACGGG
rnacentral:rRNA from 1 species